rnacentral:rRNA from 1 species
AACGAACGCUGGCGGCAUGCCUAACACAUGCAAGUCGAACGAGACCUUCGGGUCUAGUGGCGCAAGGGUGCGUAACGCGUGGGAACCUGCCCUUAGGUUCGGAAUAACUCCCCGAAAGGGGUGCUAAUACCGGAUAAUGUCUUCUGACCAAAGAUUUAUCGCCUUUGGAUGGGCCCGCGUUGGAUUAGCUAGUUGGUAGGGUAAAAGCCUACCAAGGCGACGAUCCAUAGCUGGUCUGAGAGGAUGAUCAGCCACACUGGGACUGAGACACGGCCCAGACUCCUACGGGAGGGAGGAGUGGGGAAUAUUGGACAAUGGGGGGAAGGCUGAUCCAGCCAUGCCGGGGAAGUGAUGAAGGCCUUAGGGUUGUAAAGCUCUUUUACCCGGGAUGAUAAUGACAGUACCGGGAGAAUAAGCUCCGGCUAACUCCGUG